GACGAACGCUGGCGGCGUGCUUAACACAUGCAAGUCGUACGGUAAGGCCCUUUCGGGGGUACACGAGUGGCGAACGGGUGAGUAACACGUGAGUAACCUGCCCACAACUUUGGGAUAACGCUAGGAAACUGGUGCUAAUACUGGAUAUGUGCCCCUGCUGCAUGGUGGGGGUUGGAAAGCUCCGGCGGUUGUGGAUGGACUCGCGGCCUAUCCGCUUGUUGGUGGGGUAGUGGCCUACCAAGGCGGCGACGGGUAGCCGGCCUGAGAGGGUGACCGGCCACAUUGGGACUGAGAUAAGGCCCAGACUCCUACGGGAGGCAGCAGUGGGGAAUAUUGCACAAUGGGCGCAAGCCUGAUGCAGCAACGCCGCGUGCGGGAUGACGGCCUUCGGGUUGUAAACCGCUUUCAGCAGGGACGAAGCUUUUUGUGACGGUACCUGCAGAAGAAGCACCGGCUAACUACGUG
rnacentral:rRNA from 1 species